rnacentral:rRNA from 1 species
UACGUAGGGGGCAAACGUUGCUCGGAAUCAUUGGGCGUAAAGCGCACGUAGGCGGCUUUGCAAGUCGGACGUGAAAUCCCUCAGCUCAACUGAGGGCGUGCAUCCGAAACUGCAAGGCUUGAGUACUGAAGAGGAUCGCGGAGUUCCCGGUGUAGAGGUGAAAUUCGUAGAUAUCGGGAGGAACACCAGUGGCGAAGGCGGCGAUCUGGGCAGAUACUGACGCUGAGGUGCGAAAGCGUGGGGAGCAAACAGG